UAAAUACUCCCUCCGUCCUAAAAUUCUUGUCUUAGAUUUGUCUAAAUACGGAUGUAUCAAGUCACGUUUUAGUAUUAGAUACAUCCAUAUCUAGACAAAUGUAAGACAAGAAUUUUGAGACGAAGGAAGUAGUAA
rnacentral:pre_miRNA from 1 species